UACAUGGAGGAAAUGCCAUGGGACGGGUUUAUCUGUCCGGUCUCAUUGAUGAUUAUUUCCCUGAUUAUCAAUCUGACUGCGGAUUCGUCAUACUCCUCAAU
rfam:Dialister succinatiphilus YIT 11850 genomic scaffold supercont1.1, whole genome shotgun sequence.